UGUGUGUAAUGUAUAGUCCUAGUCCAAAUAUAUAUCCAAAAUUCAGAAAAAUUGUAGCAAUCACUUUUACAAAUUUAGCCAAUACACAUCCAUACCCCUAUUGACAAGUCAAGAGAUGUUCCGAAAACUGUAAAUAUUACCUUUUUGCACUUGGCCUAAUCACUCAUUCCAAAUCAAAAUAAGUUAAAAUACAACAUCCAAAAAUUUAUUUCACCUCUCUUCUUUCAUUUCCACCAAAAAAAAUCUAAGAAAUGAGUGAGGAAGGGAAAGAAAAAAAAUUAAGGAAAAAAUACACUCUAAUAAAAGGAACUAUAUUCGUGGACAACGAAAAGCGGGGUCAUUAAUUGUGGUCUUGGGCCUAUU
rnacentral:lncRNA from 1 species